AGUGAACGCUGGCGGUAGGCCUAACACAUGCAAGUCGAACGGCAGCACAGUAAGAGCUUGCUCUUACGGGUGGCGAGUGGCGGACGGGGGAGGAAUACAUCGGAAUCUACUUUUUCGUGGGGGAUAACGUAGGGAAACUUACGCUAAUACCGCAUACGAAGUACGGGUGAAAGCAGGGGAUCUUCGGACCUUGCGCGAUUGAAUGAGCCGAUGUCGGAUUAGCUAGUUGGCGGGGUAAAGGCCCACCAAGGCGACGAUCCGUAGCUGGUCUGAGAGGAUGAUCAGCCACACUGGAACUGAGACACGGUCCAGACUCCUACGGGAGGCAGCAGUGGGGAAUAUUGGACAAUGGGCGCAAGCCUGAUCCAGCCAUACCGCGUGGGUGAAGAAGGCCUUCGGGUUGUAAAGCCCUUUUGUUGGGAAAGAAAAGCAGCAGGUUAAUACCCCGCUGUUCUGACGGUACCCAAAGAAUAAGCACCGGCUAACUUCGUG
rnacentral:rRNA from 1 species